rnacentral:tRNA from 2 species
GCGCCUGUAGCUCAGCUGGAUAGAGCGUCUGCCUCCGGAGCAGAAAGUCGCAGGUUCGACUCCUGUCAGGCGCG